AGAAUCAACGCUGGCGGCGUGCCUAACACAUGCAAGUCGCACGAGAAAGUGGAGCAAUCCACGAGUAAAGUGGCGCACGGGUGAGUAACACGUGAAUGAUCUACCUCCGAGUGGGGAAUAACUGAGAGAAAUCUUAGCUAAUACCGCAUAAUACCCACGGGUCAAAGCAGCAAUGCGCUUGGAGAGGAGUUCGCGGCCGAUUAGUUAGUUGGCGGGGUAAUGGCCCACCAAGACAGUGAUCUGUA
rnacentral:rRNA from 1 species